rnacentral:rRNA from 1 species
CGGCGGACGGGUGAGUAACACGUGGAUAACCUACCUAUAAGACUGGGAUAACUUCGGGAAACCGGAGCUAAUACCGGAUAAUAUUUUGAACCGCAUAGUUCAAAAGUAAAAGACGGUCUUGCUGUCACUUAUAGAUGGAUCCGCGCUGCAUUAGCUAGUUGGUAAGGUAACGGCUUACCAAGGCAACGAUGCAUAGCCGACCUGAGAGGGUGAUCGGCCACACUGGAACUGAGACACGGUCCAG